rnacentral:tRNA from 1 species
GCUGGGAUGGUGGAACUGGCAGACACACUAGCUUGAGGGGCUAGCGCCCGUUACAGGGUAUGGGGGUUCAAAUCCCCCUCCCAGCA